rnacentral:sRNA from 1 species
GCUGGGUACAGUGGCAUGCAUCUGUAGUCCCAGAUACUCAGGAGGCUGAGGUAGGAGGAUCGCUUGAGCCCAGGAGUUUGAGGCCAGCAUGGGCAACUUAGCAAGACCUCAUCUCCA